rnacentral:lncRNA from 1 species
UGAUAACCGAAGGGAAAACACAUCGUGAUUUCUAACGACGCCGAGAGUCCUCCUGUCUCCUGCACAUCUGGGGGCCUGGGCCGCUCCGCCUGAGUGGUCCUGCAGACCAAGUUGCUGAGGCGUGCAGAUCGCAGGAGUUCUCCCCAGAGAAGGCCCAGGCUUUGCCGCCAAGCAUCCGCCCGUUACUAAUCCGCCACCCAUGAUCUCAAAGAGACGCCCGCCUGCCUCGGACCACACAGCGGCUGCCGGAUGCCCACAGCUUCACAAAGGCAUUCCUGUGUCUGUGGUCCCUGAGCAAGCAGCUACAAAAUGCUGCGUCAUCCUUUUCCCAGAAACCAAUUAGUGUCCUCCGCCUGACCAGGCUCGCUGGUGGCUUUCUCAGUGUGCACAGGAGCAGCGGGCAAUCGCCCUCCUGGUGGAGCCGUCAGCAGGUGGUAGACCAGCAGCCCCAGGGAGGGAAGCACAUGCUCAGAGUCCUAGCCUGCCUGUGUGUGUGCAUGUGUGCAUGUGUGCAUCUUCUAGGACAGCAUGGUCCUCACUGCACAGACCAGUACAGCUGGCCUCAGGAUGCUUGCGUCCUUUCUGGAAUGCAUCUCUGCCCAUCAUUCUCCUUGUUGGCUUGUUCCUUGGAGUGUGUAACAUAGACAGUUACGGGACAUGGCCAGUGUCUGCCUAACCCAUUAAUGGGUUAACCAGCAGGAUGACAAACGUGACUCAGAAGAGAAGUCAGAUCUCGAAGAGACAGUUGGUGGAGGAAAGGCUGCUGGAAAGAGGAUUCCCAGUCAGAUGGAGAAAAGAGGUUGAUCCUGGGGUCCUGGGAUCAAGUCCCGCAUCAGUCUCCCUGCAUGGAGCCUGAUUCUCUCUCUGCCUGUGUCUCUGCCUCUCUCUCUCUGUGUCUCUCAUGAAUAAAUAAAUAAAAUCUUACAAAAAAACCCCUAGCUUUGAAGAGGUAUAAUUGACAUCAAAUGCAUAUUUAGACUGUACUGUUAGGACUCUAUUGACAUAGCGCAUAUGAAACCAUCGCCAUAGUCAGGAUAACGAUCAUACACAUCAUCCUCAAAUCCUCCGUCAUCUUUUAACAGGAAAUCUAUUGAGACUGAACACAAGGGAGUUGUUUUCUGGGGUGGUUUCAGGUGUGGGAACAGCCCUAGGCUCUGGGCUUCUGCUCCUGAGAGAGCCACCUUCCUGGAGGGGUCCUACCUCCUCUGGCGCUGGAGCAGCGGGGGUCAACUCUCCUGUCUGAGCCGAGGCCCCCUCAUCCCCUGCCCCGGGGCAUCCUCGUGGUGCCCAGCUCCAAGGGGGAGUGCACCCUGGACUCCAAGCAGGUGGGAGCAGAGCCCCUCGGGGGGCCCUCAACUCUUCCCUUGUCUAGUUCGAGGCUCACAGUGGCCAAGCUCCUCAGAAACCAUGAUGUUGUUUCAAGGAACUACUUGCUCUCUUUUUGGGGGAAG